UUUGUGUUUGUCUGGAUUGUUUUUACUAAUGCUUCUUGUUUCUGUAUUAUCCCCUUUGCUGCUGUACACUGCAAAUUUCCUCACUGUGGGACUAAUAAAGGAAUAUCUUAUCUUA